GUGCCAGCAGCCGCGGUAAAACGUAGGAGGCGAGCGUUAUCCGGAUUUACUGGGCGUAAAGCGCACGCAGGUGGCUGUGCAGGUCGGACAUGAAAGCUCCUGGCUUAACUGGGAGAGGUGGUUCGAAACCGCACGGCUUGAGGUUGGGAGAGGGACGUGGAAUUCCCGGUGUAGUGGUGGAAUGCGUAGAUAUCGGGAGGAACACCAGUGGCGCAAGCGGCGUCCUGGCCCACACCUGACGCUGAGGUGCGAAAGCGUGGGUAGCAAACAGGAUUAGAUACCCUCGUAGUCC
rnacentral:rRNA from 1 species